CCUACGGGUGGCAGCAGUGAGGAAUAUUGGUCAAUGGGCGCGAGCCUGAACCAGCCAAGUCGCGUGAGGGAAGACGGUCCUAUGGAUUGUAAACCUCUUCUGUCGGGGAGCAAAAGACGCCACGCGUGGCGUUCCGAGAUUACCCGACGAAAAAGCAUCGGCUAACUCCGUGCCAGCAGCCGCGCUAAUACGGGGGAUGCGAGCGUUAUCCGGAUUUAUUGGGUUUAAAGGGUGCGCAGGCGGAAGAGUAAGUCAGCGGUAAAAUUGAGAGGCUCAACCACUUCGAGCCGUUGAAACUGGCUAUCUUGAGUGAGUGAGAAGUAAGCGGAAUGCGGGGUGUAGCGGUGAAAUGCAUAGAUAUCACGAAGAACUCCGAUUGCGAAGGCAGCAUACCGGCGCUCAACUGACGCUGAUGCACGAAAGUGUGGGGAGCGAACAGGAUUAGAUACCCGGGUAGUC
rnacentral:rRNA from 1 species